UUGGUUUUGCCGUUAUGUUCUCC
rnacentral:siRNA from 1 species